rnacentral:rRNA from 1 species
CUUGACCAUCAAAUCAGGCGGGACUACCCGCUGAACUUAAGCAUA